AGCAGCCGCGGUAAUUCCAGCUCCAAUAGCGUAUAUUAAAGUUGUUGCAGUUAAAAAGCUCGUAGUUGAAUUUCGGGAUCAAUGUUUCGGUCAUGCCCUUGGUAUGCACUGAUAUUAUUGGUUUCUCACCUUCUAAAGAACCGUAAUGCCAUUAAUUUGGUGUCACGGGGAAUUAGGACUGUUACCUUGAAAAAAUUAGAGUGUUUAAAGCAGGCUCACGCUUGAAUACAUUAGCAUGGAAUAAUGAAAUAGGACAUCCGAUUCUAUUUUGUUGGUUUCUAGGAUCGAUGUAAUGAUUAAUAGGGAUAGUUGGGGGCAUUAGUAUUCAAUUGUCCGAGGUGAAAUUCUUGGAUUUAUUGAAGACUAACUACUGCGAAAGCAUUUGCCAAGGAUGUUUUCAUUAAUCAAGAACGAAAGUUAGGGGAUCGAAGACGAUCAGAUACCGUCGUAGUCUUAACCAUAAACUAUGCCGACUAGGGAUCGGAUGAUGUUAAUUUUUUAAUGACUCA
rnacentral:rRNA from 1 species